AAUAACUUACCUGCCGAAUGAAUUAGCCCUGAAAAUGGAUGGCGCUCAAGCGGGCAGCCGACACCACACCGUUUGUUUUAUAUAUAACAGAUGAGUAGGAGGGCGUGGUGGCCGUAUCGAAGCAUGCGUGCGAACGCUUGUGGAACGGCCACUAGUGCAGAUCUUGGUGGUAGUAGCAAAUAUUCAAGCGAGAUCCUUGAAGGGCGAAGCGGGGAAGGGUUCCACGCGAACAUUGAUUGGGCGUGGGUGAGUCGUUCCUAAGCCGAGUGGCCAUUGCUAAUUAUAGGCGAAAGGGAAGCGGGUUGAAAUUCCCGCACACGGAUGUGGAGGCGGUGACGCACAUUGAGACGAAAACAUCGGCGAUGGCGCUGGGCAGAGAUGUCUUUUCUGUUUAAUCAUUAUCAUGCUGUGUGGAAUCCGCUUGUCGGGAGAAACACGCAUGAAAGGUAAGAGCGCCGGGGCUUUUCCGGCGUCCAGCUCGCCAACGACGGUCCUUGAAAAUUUGUCUAAUGAUCAGAUCCACGCCGUGGCGUACCGAUAACCGCAUCAGGUCCCCAAGGUGAACAGCCUCUGUCCAGUAUGAAUAAU
rnacentral:rRNA from 1 species